AUUGAACGCUGGCGGCAUGCCUUACACAUGCAAGUCGAACGGUAACAGGUCUUCGGAUGCUGCCGAGUGGCGAACGGGUGAGUAAUACAUCGGAACGUGCCUAGUAGUGGGGGAUACCUACUCGAAAGAGUGGCUAAUACCGCAUGAGAUCUACGGAUGAAAGCAGUGGAUAGCAAGACCUUGUGCUACUAGAGCGGCUGAUGGCAGAUUAGGUAGUUGGUGGGAUAAAAGCUUACCAAGCCGAGUAUCUGAAGCUGGUCUGAGAGGACGAUCAGCCACACUGGGACUGAGACACGGCCCAGACUCCUACGGGAGGCAGCAGUGGGGAAUUUUGGACAAUGGGCGCAAGCCUGAUCCAGCAAUGCCGCGUGCAGGAUGAAGGCCUUCGGGUUGUAAACUGCUUUUGUACGGAACGAAAAGCCCCGGGUUAAUACCCUGGGGUCAUGACGGUACCGUAAGAAUAAGCACCGGCUAACUACGUGCCAGCAGCCGCCGCAG
rnacentral:rRNA from 1 species